GGGCGGGCUGCUCGGGGAUAGGCUGGGCGUCGGUCAACGGGUGGCUUCACUUUCCCGUUUCUCUCCCCCAUCCCGGAGAGGGAGGGGGGAGGGUGAGCGAACGGCUGUGUGGUGUUUGGCUGCCAGCCGGGCUAAACCACAACAGGGAGGAAGUCCUGGGUGAAUUUUAAUACUUCUCAGAAAAAUGCCUGCAGGGGAAUGGCUUCUGAAAACAAACAGUUCCAAAGCCAAGUGCCACAGAAAGAAGAGGAGGAAUGAAAAAAGAAGGUCCAUCAGAAAGAGGAUGAUUCAGACAAAAUGUUUUAGGCCCACUAGAGCACUGGUUAUAAUUUCUUUAUAACUAUAUUUUAUUUUGAUCCCUUAUUUUUGUUAAGAAAGGUUUAUUUCUCAAUGACGGAGUAAUUUCCAUGAAAGAAAACAAUAAUGUGUUCUAU